CCAGCGCCACCCUCCUGAACGUCCACCAUGUUGCUGGGCCUGGCUGGGGUCGAGAGGACCAAGGACCACUAGACGGGGACCUUGGGGAUGCUUUCCUGAGGCCAGGACACCAUUUCCCACAGUGACUAGAAUGGGCCCAGCCUGGGUGUGCGGAGGUCAUGGUUAACAGUCAUUUCCAUGGCAGGACGGCUGUGGGGACCCACAGUGCCAAUGUUGUAAAUGCGGCAAGGACAGCACAGGGCGGCUCGGCAGUGCUCUUAGCGGGCCUGGGGCUGGCAGUGUGGUGGCCCACCCGAAGACAGCCAAGCCCACGGAGGGGUCAGCACGGCUAAGGGUAAACAGAGGAUGGCCGAGGGGGGCCACAGGUGGUCUCUGCACCUGCCAGGCAGCCCAGAAUAUUCUACUUCUGCCGGCCCGAGGCCCAGCCUGCCGCUGCCCAUGCCUCUCCGUCUCCUGUGCCCCCGGCGCAAUUCAGCCAGGCCAUGCCUGUUCCUCCACCAAUGCCCUAGCUGCCCUCA